AUGGUCAGUGACCUUAUAUCCCUGGGAGCUAACGUCAAUGAACAGGAUGGUCUGGGGAAAACUCCACUCCACCUGUGUGCAGAGAAUGGCUACUUGAGAGUUUUAGAGGUUUUGAAAAACUGCAAAGACAACGGCAUGCGGGUAGAAGUGAACCUGACUGACCACUACGGUAAGAGGAAAAGCUUAGCUGUACGGAUGCUUAGCAUAGACGCCAGAGGUUUCAAAGUACAGAUUUUACCUAGGCCAAAGGAUGAUCAAUUUCGUGUUCAAAUUAAGUUCUGGGAGGCAAGCCAAUCAGUCUUGACAGGGCAUCCCUCGCAAAUAGCCAAGUGCAGGAUGGUUCACUCCAGUGAGGUGUUCAGGUGCUGGAUUUGCCUGACCUGCCUGUGCUGUUCCGUUCAGGUUUAACCCCGCUGCACUGUGCUGCUCUUGCCCACACCGUCUUAGCUCUGGAAUCGCAGAAAACUGACAUCAAUAGUGACAUGGGAAGGUUUCUCAGGCUACGCAAAGAUCAAAUUCUUGAGGGAAUUAACUGCUUAUUGCAAAUGGGAGGAAAGCUGGAGAUGCAGGUAAGAAUCAGCAACAGGCUGUUCAUUGUGACUUGAUGCUUUCCUCUUUGUUUGCAAUCACAGGUUUCACUGUCAUUUGCAGGUACUAAAUUCAUGUCAGAUUACCACUCCCUAUUUAAAAAUUGAGGAGAAUACUGAGCUGAUGUGUUUGCUCCAGACCUAUAAACCCAAGAGAGAGGAUCCUCUUCAAGAGGUAGGUCUCUGUAUAGUGACUUUUACGUAGGCUCUGGCAUUUAUACCCAAGAAACCAAACAGACAUUACCAACAGCAGUAUAAGCCAUACUGCUUUGUAAGCGGCAGUAGAUAAUGCUCCCAAGCCUUGCCCAUGCUGGCGUAGGGUAGAGAAUCCCUUCUUGAGGAGAAAAGCACUGUAGGAACUCUUACCGCACUCAUUCGAGGGACUGCUACGUUUGCAGUAUCUCCAGUUGCAUGGGGAGGCUGCCGGCACACUGCUCACACCUCCCAGCAACAACAAAUUCAUUCCCAACGUUUCCAACAGAGGCAUCUCGGCAGCAACACCAAGGGAAUUCCCCCAGUCCCACCAAGGGAAUGCCACCGUCCCAAACGCUGCACUAUAUUGCUACUUUCAGAAGCUUCUUAAAAGACAAAGAGCUGAAUUUUAUCAUUUCCUCCAUGCCUUAGCACACCCGUUCCACACCAACACCAGCCAAAGCCUGCAUGGACAGAACCAAAAGACAGACGGGCUCUCCGG
rnacentral:lncRNA from 1 species